rnacentral:rRNA from 1 species
CCCGGAUGUUAGCGGCGGACGGGUGAGAAACACRAWGGGUAACCUGCCUGUAAGACUGGGAUAACUCCGSGAAAYCGGAGCUAAUACCGGAUAGUUCCUUGAACCGCAUGGUUCAAGGAUGAAAGACGGUUUCGGCUGUCACUUACAGAUGGACCCGCGGCGCAUUAGCUAGUUGGUGGGGUAAUGGCUCACCAAGGCGACGAUGCGUAGCCGACCUGAGAGGGUGAUCGGCCACACUGGGACUGAGACACGGCCCAGACUCCUACGGGAGGCAGCAGUAGGGAAUCUUCCGCAAUGGACGAAAGUCUGACGGAGCAACGCCGCGUGAGUGAUGAAGGUUUUCGGAUCGUAAAGCUCUGUUGUUAGGGAAGAACAAGUGCGAGAGUAACUGCUCGCACCUUGACGGUACCUAACCAGAAAGCCACGGCUAACUACGUGCCAGCAGCCGCGGUAAUACGUAGGUGGCAAGCGUUGUCCGGAAUUAUUGGGCGUAAAGGGCUCGCAGGCGGUUUCUUAAGUCUGAUGUGAAAGCCCCCGGCUCAACCGGGGAGGGUCAUUGGAAACUGGGAAACUUGAGUGCAGAAGAGGAGAGUGGAAUUCCACGUGUAGCGGUGAAAUGCGUAGAGAUGUGGAGGAACACCAGUGGCGAAGGCGACUCUCUGGUCUGUAACUGACGCUGAGGAGCGAAAGCGUGGGGAGCGAACAGGAUUAGAUACC